UUACAAGGACUUCCACUGGGUGUUACUAGCAACAACAAUUUGACUGAAUCAGAAGAUGCCGAGUACUCCAACUCCAUUGGAACUGAAGAAAUGAAAUUGCACUCCCUAUCUGCUACAGCAGAGGUGCCUCUUACUCUGCCCAUGAUUGCUGCCACACCAAUACCCCUGGUUGAACAGUCCCGAGAAGUCGGUGAAGAUGCUGGAUCCAAAGGAAAUAAGAAUGGUACAAUAAAUUCAGUUGCUACCACCUUUUGUGUGGCAUCAUUAAGUUCAUAUAUGUGCUUAGCUAACAAUUUACUCCGUCCGUCCCAAAAUAUAAGAUGUUAAUAACAUCUUAUAUCACGUAACUGAGAGAGUACAUUGUAACUACAGUGGAGAAACAGAUCGAAAAAAUCAAUCUAGCCAAAAGAAACUGCUCAUGAAUACCUCAUAAGACAUUGCCUCGUGAAGAUCUUGGAUUUGCGAGGAUUGGAAGAACCUAGCUUGCGCCUUCAUCUACCAAUAGUUAC